CGCGUAGGUGGUUUGUUAAGUUGGAUGUGAAAGCCCCGGGCUCAACCUGGGAACUGCAUCCAAAACUGGCAAGCUAGAGUACGGUAGAGGGUGGUGGAAUUUCCUGUGUAGCGGUGAAAUGCGUAGAUAUAGGAAGGAACACCAGUGGCGAAGGCGGGUCUCUGGGUAGUAACUGACGCUGAGGAGCGAAAGCGUGGGGAGCGAAACA
rnacentral:rRNA from 1 species